CUCAAGAUCACGGCCUGAGCCGAAAUCGGACACUCAACCGACAGAGCCACCCAGGUACCCCAAGUAGCAUUCUUUUCGAAGACAUCCUUGAAAACCAUCUCUUUCCUUUGCCUUGAUUCUGCUUAUAUGAAAAAGAACUUUUGAAUGGGGAAUAUUUGUACAUGUAACCAAUUUUAAAGGUAAUGAAGUUAAAAGGUACAAAAUACUAUACAAUGAAAAAAAUCUCUUAUCUUUGUUCCCUGAAGAUCCGGUUUCCUCCAACAGAAGCAACCACCAUCACUUGUUCCUCUCGCACCCUUCCAGAGAGAAUACAAGGAUAUCCAAGCAUAUGAGAAGACUGGGACCCAGACAGCUAAAGGGACUUGCCCAAGGUGACACAUCUCCAUAGUGUCAAAGUCUCCAGGCAUCUCACCCCAGAGUGACUUGGUAACAGCCUUUUCCACCCCCAAGCCCUCAAGUGUUCGUGAGUUCUCAAAGAAUUUGGAAAAUCAAUGUGCUGUUAUUCUAAUUUUGGUCUAUCUGCAUAUGUGACUUUGUGCUUUGGUGCUAAGAAUAGAAGACAUCAAAAUAGCGCUCUCAGCAACGCUGAGUGUACAGAAAAUUGAAGCGGAAAUGGAAAGGGUGCCCUCAGAGAGGAUGUCACAUCACCAGACUUUGGUUUUGAAGCCACCAGAAAGCAGAGAGAAGCUGUUAUUUUGAAGAGAAUUUCUUCAGCUACUGAAGGUUGGCUGAGUGUGCAUUAAGGCCUGAGCAGCAAUGCCACAUGCCUGGCAGAUGAUGGGCUCUGACCCAAAGAUAUGAGGUUACAGCUCUGGGGCAGACGAGCAGCCUGAGCUCUUUUCUCUGCCUGAUGGCCCCAGUGCCCGACUCUCUGAGGAAAUGAACAGAUGGUCACUGCAAGAGUCACUGAAUCUCCACAUUCAUUCAUUUUUUGGCGACCUUGGAGUUUUCCAGCUUCGAGCCAAAGAGACCAAGCCUGAAGUUCCCUUCCAGCCCCCUACUUCAGACCUGUAACUGAAUCCUGAUAGGUCAUCUCAGGCAGACCGGUGAAGGGGAAGAUAAGAAAGAAGAAAAGCAAAGAUGCUGGAGUCUUGCAGCCUAACAACACACGAGGGAUAUUGUUUGCCUGGAAGCCUCCAGGGAUGGCAAAAUGGCAGAAAUUUCCAGUGGGGAAAAUGUGGGGUGGGGGGGGUGGGGGUGCUAAAUUAUUUGAAUGGGACCCUUUGAAGGCUUCUGCUACCCCUACACCUGCUGAGGCUUUCCACUGAGCUUUGGGAAAAGGCUAGCUUUUCAUAGCAGAGCAGAGAAAGGGGGAGAAUGAAGGAGGCACGUAAUGCA